rnacentral:rRNA from 1 species
UAGUCUACGCCGUAAACGAUGGAUACUAGUUGUUUGAUCUUCGGAUUGAGUGACUAAGCGAAAGUGAUAAGUUAUCCACCUGGGGAGUACGUUCGCAAGAAUGAAACUCAAAGGAAUUGACGGGGGCCCGCACAAGCGGUGGAGCAUGUGGUUUAAUUCGAUGAUACGCGAGGAACCUUACCAGGGCUUAAAUGUAGAUUGACAGGUUUAGAGAUAGACUUUUCUUCGGACAAUUUACAAGGUGCUGCAUGGUUGUCGUCAGCUCGUGCCGUGAGGUGUCAGGUUAAGUCCUAUAACGAGCGCAACCCCUGUCGUUAGUUGCCAGCAUUUCGGAUGGGGACUCUAACGAGACUGCCGGUGCAAACCGCGAGGAAGGUGGGGAUGACGUCAAAUCAUCACGGCCCUUACGUCCUGGACUACACACGUGCUACAAUGGCCAGUACAGUGGGCAGCUACUAUGUGAAUAGGAGCGAAUCCUCAAAACUGGUACUCAGUUCGGAUCGGAGU